rnacentral:lncRNA from 1 species
ACGAUUUUAACUGAUUCACAGUGUUAAUGGUAUCCCAUUCAUUUUCUGCUUUCACCUUACCAGGGUCCGGUGUGAACCCCUGGGUGCCCACCACAUGGCCAAGGGGCCCCACAAGGUUGAGUCCUUAGUCCCCUCCUGUAUUUCCUGUAUACCCACAACUGUGUGACCUCCGACUCCAUCAUCAAGUUCGCUGACGACACAACAGCAGUAGCCCUGAUUACCAACACUGAUGAGACAACCUACAGGGAGGAGGUAGGCACUCUGACGGCGUGGUGCCAGGUGAACAACCUCUCCCUCAAUGUUAACAAAACAAAGGACCUGAUUGUGGAAUACAGGAGGAACCAGGCUGGACACGUCCCCAUCCUCAUCAACAGGGCUGCUGUGGAAAUGGUCAAUAACUUUAAAUUCCUCUGCAUAUACAUCUCGGAGAAGCUCAAAUGGUCUAACCACACAGACACCGUGAGGAAGAAGGCACAACAGCGACUCUUCAACCUCAGGAUACUUUAGAAAUUAGGCCUGUCCCCGAGGGCCCUCACAGUGUUCUACAGGAGCACCAUCGAGAGCAUACUGUCGGCUGCAUUACAGCAACUCCACUGCCACGGACCGCAAGAAGCUUCAGAGGGUGAUACGUGCAGCCAAACGCACCAUUGGGUGAACGUUGCCUGCCCUACAGGACACCUACAACACCAACUCCGCAGGGAGGCCAAGAAGCCCAUGCCCUGUUCUCCCUGCUUCUAACACUCAGACGCAACACAGGAGCAUCAUGGCAAAAACUGGAAGACUGGCCAAUAGUUUCUACCCUUAGAAUAUCAGGCUGCUGAAUAGCCACCACUAGUCAGCUACUGUACCUGCUCCUCCUCCCCCCUGCUACUCCCCCAAUGGACAUUUUCCCCCCACACCACCAACUGACUUUUACUCUGCCCCCACCCCAACGACAUUCAUCACUGUUGCAGUUGUUAAUAUGUUUAUCCUAUUUUUUGUUUGUUUUUAUUUAACUUGGUCCCCACACCCGUUCAAUGGUCAUGCCGCUCCCCCUAUGGUCAUUCCACCCCACAACAUUAGCAGUUUUUACUCUGCCUCCACCCCAACGGACAAUUUUUUAUAAUGCUAUUUACAUUUUUUAAUUACCAUUUUCAUUAUUUUAUUUCACUUAGUCCUGCAUGUUCAAGCUCGGAGCCUGAGAUUUUCACUGUACCCUGCAAUCACAUGUGUACAUAUGGCUAUUAAACACAGAAUCUAAAUGAAAAUGAAAGUCCCCUAAAUUGGGGAAUUAACAUUUAAG